rnacentral:rRNA from 1 species
UAUGUGAUCGUCUCUCGCAUAUCAAUAAGCGGAGGAAAAGAAACUAACAAGGAUUCCCCUAGUAACGGCGAGUGAAGCGGGAAGAGCUCAAAUUUGAAAUCUUAAAGGGUUUCCCUUUACGAAUUGUAGUUUAAAGAAGUGUUUUCUGUUGAGGUUUUGGUAAAAGUUCUUUGGAAUAGGACAUCAUAGAGGGUGAGAAUCCCGUAUUUGACCUUUACUUUCAACUUUGUGAUACACUUUCAAAGAGUCGGAUUGUUUGGGAAUGCAGUCCAAAAUGGGUGGUAAAUUUCAUCUAAAGCUAAAUAUUGGCGAGAGACCGAUAGCGAACAAGUACCGUGAGGGAAAGAUGAAAAGAACUUUGAAAAGAGAGUUAAACAGUACGUGAAAUUGUCAAAAGGGAAGCGUUUGACACCAGUGUUGUUUUUCUGAAAAUCAAUUAAAGAACUGUUUAUGCUAAGUUGUUUAGACUUUAUCAGCUAAUCUGCUUAGUUUUGAGCUUUUCUUUAAUGCACUUUUCAGUUAACAAGUCAACAUCAAUUUCUUUUGCUGUAAAAAAGCUUGAGGAAGGUGGCUUGAGAUUCGUCUUAAGUGUUUAUAGCCUCUUGCCUAUGCAGUCGGAGAGAUUGAGGUCUGCAGCGUAGAUCCUUCGGGGCUAAAUGCAUUUGUGCUAAGUUAUAAGCAUUUUAUAGACAACUUGUUGACUAUGAUUUGUCUUGUAGCUUACUCGCUUAUGUUAUUUUACCUACGCUUAGGAUGUUGAGUAGCGACAUACGCAC